UUUGAACACAUUCUUUCAAUUUUUAAACACACACCCUCUCUCUCUAUCUACCUCCAUCGGAGCCCAUUUCCAUGCUUCCCUAUCGGAGCCCAACCCUCACCAGCGAUUGAACCCCAAACCCCUUAUUAGUCUCUUCAUCUUCUCUCUUCUUCCAUCUAUCUCUCCGCCAUCUCAAUCGUCAUCAACAGUGGCAGCCCCAAAGACGAAGACCGAAUACAAGGGUGUUCAACAAAGGAAGAAUCUGAUAGAAAUACUGUUCAGGUGAGCAAACCCAUCUUAUUUGAGAACCAAAAUUAAAACCUAUGCCUGUGUAUUUGGCAACCAAAAUUGGCUUGAAAGCAUAUAAAGCUGUAUUGGAAUCCUGUGCCCAUGUAUGGAUUUCAUGAAGGUUUACAAAACUAUUGGGAGGGUGCAUUCUUCACUUGAGCGAUGAUUCCUGCGCUCAAGCGGUGUCAUUUGUUGUGUCUGGACGCUCGAGUGACGUUUCUUGCGCUCGAGUGGUUUGUCCGAAUUCAACAAUUGUAAAAGUCACUUUUGAUCACAUCUGGAUCACUUUUCUCUCUCCCUUCUCUCUCUCUCAAAUGCCGAAACUCUUUUAUAUUCCUUGACACAGAGGUGUUGUUGUUGGUGUGUUUCUAUCUAAUCUCUAUCUAUAUAUAUAGCAGGUGCGACGAUUACCAACGGAGAAGAGUCUUUAAAAAAAAAAAAAAACUUUCUUUGUGGUUUCAUCGUUUUUACAUUG